rnacentral:rRNA from 1 species
CCUACGGGUGGCAGCAGUGGGGAAUAUUGGACAAUGGGGGCAACCCUGAUCCAGCGAUGCCGCGUGUGUGAAGAAGGCCCUCGGGUUGUAAAGCACUUUUAGUGAGGAAGAACGCCUGGUGGUUAAUACCCAUCAGGAAAGACGUCACUCACAGAAGAAGCAGCGGCUAACUCCGUGCCAGCAGCCGCGGUAAUACGGAGGGUGCGAGCGUUAAUCGGAAUUACUGGGCGUAAAGCGCGCGUAGGUGGCUUGAUAAGCCGGUUGUGAAAGCCCCGGGCUCAACCUGGGAACGGCAUCCGGAACUGGCAAGCUAGAGUGCAGAAGAGGAAGGUAGAAUUCCCGGUGUAGCGGUGAAAUGCGUAGAGAUCGGGAGGAAUACCAGUGGCGAAGGCGGCCUUCUGGACUGACACUGACACUGAGGUGCGAAAGCGUGGGCAGCAAACAGGAUUAGAUACCCGUGUAGUC